GAGUUUGAUCGUGGCUCAGGAUGAACGCUAGCGGCAGGCCUAACACAUGCAAGUCGAGGGGUAGAGUUAGCUUGCUAACUUGAGACCGGCGCACGGGUGCGUAACGCGUAUGCAAUCUGCCUUAUACUAAGGGAUAGCCCAGAGAAAUUUGGAUUAAUACCUUAUAGUAUAUAGAUGCGGCAUCACAUUUAUAUUAAAGAUUUAUUGGUAUAAGAUGAGCAUGCGUCCCAUUAGCUAGUUGGUAUGGUAACGGCAUACCAAGGCUAUGAUGGGUAGGGGUCCUGAGAGGGAGAUCCCCCACACUGGUACUGAGACACGGACCAGACUCCUACGGGAGGCAGCAGUGAGGAAUAUUGGUCAAUGGGCGCAAGCCUGAACCAGCCAUGCCGCGUGCAGGAUGACGGUCCUAUGGAUUGUAAACUGCUUUUGUACGGGAAGAAACAACUCUACGUGUAGAGUCUUGACGGUACCGUAAGAAUAAGGAUCGGCUAACUCCGUGCCA
rnacentral:rRNA from 1 species